CCUACGGGAGGCAGCAGUGAGGAAUAUUGGUCAAUGGGCGCGAGCCUGAACCAGCCAAGUAGCGUGAAGGAUGACUGCCCUACGGGUUGUAAACUUCUUUUAUAAAGGAAUAAAGUGAGGCACGUGUGCCUUUUUGUAUGUACUUUAUGAAUAAGGAUCGGCAAACUCCGUACCAGCAGCCGCGGUAAUACGGGGGGGCCGAGCGUUAUCCGGAUUUAUUGGGUUAAAGGGGAGCGUAGGCGGUCUGUUAAGUCAGAGGUAAAAGCCCGGGGCUAAACCCCGGCCCGCCGUUGAAACUGGCAGUCGCGAGUUGGAGAGAAGUAUGCGGAAUGCGCGGUGUAGCGGUGAAAUGCAUAGAUAUCGCGAAGAACUCCGAUUGCGAAGGCAGCAUGCCGGCUCCACACUGACGCUGAGGCACGAAAGCGUGGGUAUCGAACAGGAUUAGAUACCCGUGUAGUC
rnacentral:rRNA from 1 species